UACGGGGGGGGCAAGCGUUGUUCGGAAUUACUGGGCGUAAAGGGCUCGUAGGCGGCCAACUAAGUCAGACGUGAAAUCCCUCGGCUUAACCGGGGAACUGCGUCUGAUACUGGAUGGCUUGAGUUUGGGAGAGGGAUGCGGAAUUCCAGGUGUAGCGGUGAAAUGCGUAGAUAUCUGGAAGAACACCUAUGGCGAAGGCAGCUCUCUGGGACGGUACUGACGCUGAGACGCGAAAGCGUGGGGAGCGAACAGG
rnacentral:rRNA from 1 species